rnacentral:sRNA from 1 species
AGGCUGGUCUUAAAUUCCUGGGCUCAGGUGAUCUGCCUGCCUUGGCCUCCCAAAGUACUGGGAUCACGGGCAUGAGCUACCAUCACGCCCGGCCCCAUCUCUUUGAGGGACAGGACAUGUGGGGUUCUUGCUCACCCCCACUCUUGUGGGACACGGCCUGUGCCCUGAUUUUCCUUCUUGCCUUGGUGUCUGAAUCUGCAGCAUCGCCCUGAGCAACUGGUGGUUUGUGGCCCACCUGACAGACCUGCUGGACCACUGCAAGCUCCUCCAGUCACACAACCUCUAUUUCGGUUCCAACAUGAGAGAGUUCCUCCUGCUGGAGUACGCCUCGGGACUGUUUGCUCAUCCCAGCCUGUGGCAGCUGGGGGUGGAUUACUUUGAUUACUGCCCCGAGCUGGGCCGAGUCUCCCUGGAGCUGCACAUUGAACGGAUACCUCUGAACACCGAGCAGAAAGCCCUCAAGGUGCUGCGGAUCUGUGAGCAGCGGCAGAUGACUGAACAAGUUCGCAGCAUUUGUAAGAUCUUAGCCAUGAAAGCUGUCCGCAACAAUCGCCUGGGUUCUGCCCUCUCUUGGAGCAUCCGUGCUAAGGAUGC